rnacentral:lncRNA from 1 species
UGUAGAUGUUGUUUUAUUUCUUUAUUUAGUUUAUAAAGGACAGUGUGCACUUAAAUUAAUCAUUCAUGAGAAUGUGUACAUGUGUACAUCUGCAUAACUGUGAAAACGUUGAGAUUGUAGAAAUUGGUUGUAGACCUACACAUUUUAUGCUACAUGACUCAUUACUCCCAUCUUCUUUUUCUUAAUGACUACUAAGUGAAAACGCUGCCAGACAAGUGACUAGUAAAUUUCCUCUGUACUAUUUCAGGCACCCUGUGAAGAACCAUCUGACCCAAACUUGACGAAAAGUGAGCCAGUCUCAGAAAAGGACGUCUGUGAUGGGGUUGAUAUGAUGGCAACGGUUAGUUCAACUCCCGCAACAUCCAAAGACGACACUAAGUUGACAGUAUUCCUGUAAUAUGAUUUUACAUCCAGGCAUAAUACUGGACAUCUGUGAUGGGGUUGAUAUGAUGGCAGCGGUUAGUUCAACUCCCGCAACAUCCAAAGACGACACUGACAUCUGUGAUGGGGUUGAUAUGAUGGCAGCGGUUAGUUCAACUCCCGCAACAUCCAAAGACGACACUGUAAGUGUAAUUAUGAGGACCCCGUUUUUCAUGAAUUCCCUUCUUGAAUGCCUCCUUGCAGCUGCAUAGCUUAGAAAC